rnacentral:lncRNA from 1 species
GCGCAAGAUUACCACCUUGGAGCUGCUCUCCAACCGAAGGCUUGAGCUGCUCAGACACAUUCGAGUCUCUGAAGUGACAACUUUCUUGCAAGAAUUGUUCAAAACUUGGAGUACCGCGGAGAAAAGGGAGAGCAAUAAUAGCGACGGAGUUUUGGUGGAGUUGAAGCAGUGGUUUGGGGACAUGACCUUGAACGUGAUUCUUAGAAUGGUGGCUGGAAAGCGUUAUUCGGUUGCUGCCGAUGAGGAUGAGAAGACAGAAGCACGUAGGGUUCAGAGUGCAUUGAAGGAGUUUUUUUAUUAUGUGGGGCUGUUUGUGGUGGGUGAUGUGGUACCUUAUCUUCGGUGGUUGGACUUGGGUGGGCAUGAGAAGGAGAUGAAGAGGAUUGGGAAAGAACUGGACGCCAUCGUUGGAGGUUGGGUUGAAGAGCACAAGAGAAGGAGGGCAAGAGGUGAUGCUAAAGGGGAACCAGACUUCAUAGACGCCAUGCUUUCUGUGCUUGAUGGUGCAGACCUUGGCGGUUUUGAUGCUGACACAGUCAACAAAGCCACAAGCUUGGUAAUCAAACAUAUGCCUAGCUUAAUCUAUAUAAUUUAGCUUUAUAUAAAUAAUUAAUCAAAUAAAUUGUACUUUUGCAGAAUAUGAUUGCAGGAGGUAGCGAUACCACCAUGGUCACAUUAACAUGGGCAAUAUCACUAUUAUUGAACAACCCUCACGUGCUUAAAAGCGCCCAAAACGAACUGGACACUGAAAUAGGCAGACAAAGAGUUGUGAGUGAGUCAGAUAUAAGCAAGCUGGUCUACAUCCAAGCCAUAGUGAAAGAAACGCUGCGUUUGUACCCAGCAGCACCAUUAUCUGGACCACGAGAGUUCACCAAGGACUGCAACAUAGGCGGCUACCAUGUCUCAAAGGGCACCCGGUUGAUCACGAACCUUUGGAAGAUCCAAACCGACCCGAGAAUAUGGCCCGAUCCAUUGGAAUUCAAGCCGGAGAGGUUUCUGACCACCCACAGGGAUGUUGAUGUUAAGGGAUUGCACUUUGAGUUAAUUCCAUUUGGAAGUGGGAGAAGAGCAUGCCCUGGCUUGGCAUUUGCCCUUCAAAUGGUGCAAUUUACGUUGGCUAGUUUUGUGCAUGCGUUUGAAAUCUCCAACCCCUCGAGUGCACCGAUUGAUAUGACUGAGAGCUUUGGACUGACAAACAUCAAGGCGACCCCUCUUCAAGUUCUCAUCAAACCUCGUUUGCCCUCUCAACUUUAUGGAGAAAAUGAUAAAACAAG